AGGAGACGCUGGCGGCGUGGAUUAGGCAUGCAAGUCGGACGGUAGGGCUUUAUCGUAAGAUAGAGUUUGAGAGUGGCGAACGGGUGAGUAACACGUAGGAAUCUACCCUUAAGACGGGGACAACCCAGGGAAACUUGGGCUAAUACCGGAUGAGAGUGCGAGAGAUUGCAUUUAAAAGGAUGGCGAAAGUUGUCGCUUAGGGAUGAGCCCGCGUCCCAUCAGCUAGUUGGUAAGGUAAAGGCUUACCAAGGCGACGACGGGUAGCCGGUCUGAGAGGAUGUACGGCCACACUGGGACUGAGAUACGGCCCAGACUCCUACGGGAGGCAGCAGUUGGGAAUCUUAGGCAAUGGACGAAAGUCUGACCUAGCGACGCCGCGUGAGGGAAGAAGGCCUUCGGGUUGUAAACCUCUGUCAUGGGGGAAGAAGUAAGUGACGGUACCCCAAGAGGAAGCCCCUGCUAACUACGUG
rnacentral:rRNA from 1 species